CGUUUUCCCCUUUCGAGAUACACAUCGUCCACCCCCUCGGUGCUAGUGAAUCUUCCUUUUGCGAAUCGACUUAUCACCACCCACCCGUUCGAAGGUAACAAGAAGCAUCACGCGUGUGAAUUCCUUAACCUUUUCAAGGAAAGUGUGCCAAGGAAUUCCGAUCAUGGGGAAAAACGCAGAAUGGCGAAGGGUUCUUUCUGGUUAUAACGCAAUUCAAGGAUUUCCGAGAUGAGAAUUUAGUGGAAAAUUCGUCGUGAAAGAAUCAUUGACGAAUGGGAACAGACGGAUUUAUCGUAGUGAAAUAUAAUCUUUCAUUGCUGUCUACCUAUUUGAAUGGAUCGUCAAGAGUACCGAAUUCGCAUACUCUUCCUGUUAUUGUCGGUCAAUUGUAACGGUCACGUGUUCCGAAGUUGGAAUGAAACAGAAUUCGUGGAAGGACAAAAGAC